rnacentral:lncRNA from 1 species
CUCCUUUUAUUAAAAUGAGACUGGUGAGGAUGGAAAUAUUUCCUUUUGCCCUUAGAUUAAUAUGUUUGUUGACUUGGCAAAGUAUUAAGUAAGGCAGGGGGAGGCACCGCUGCCGUUUGGAAGGUCGAGGUCUUCUCAUUUGGUUGGAUCUGGCUUCCACUCCCUACUUGCUGAUAAGAAGUGGCUGUGGGGGGUGUUCCCUUGAUAUGUCCUUGCCUCGACAGAGGCGUGGUUGUAAGCAUGUGCCAUCACCUCAGAGUAAGUCUUCCAUGUGUUGGCAUUGAUCAUGUACUUGAAAAAACAAUCACGUAGGCCUGCCGUCAAGGCCUUGAUGGCGGUCUGUCAUCUACCUCAGCGCAGCGAGAAUACUCAUGGCUGAAACGACCGGCAUACUCUCGUAAUGACUCGUCCGGCUUCUGGCGAAUAGUGUAUAAGUCAUCUGCAGAAUGCAAGCGAUCGAUCUGGAAAAUGUGUUGAGAGACAAACAGUUUCCUUCAGUUCCUUAAAUGAGUUUACUGUCUCAGGUGGAAGACAGUAAUACCAGUUUAGAGCUCCGCCAGAGAGGGUGGAGGGGAAGAGAAGACAUCGUUCUUCGUCGGUAUGCAUCUGAUAUGCCAUGGUGGAGUAAAAAAGGUUAAGGUGUUCAAUUGGGUCCUCCCUUCCAGUAUAGAGUUGUAAACCAAGCUUUUGUUUUGUCUUCGCUUGAAGGGGGUGUCGAGGAUCUUCCUUGUGAGAGGGCCAGAACUGGGUUGGUUCCAGUCAGGUAUCUCGGCCUAACGUUCAGCCUUCAACUUGUUUACUUCCUCAAGGAGCUGUAGGAUAAGGGGGUCCUGCGUGGAGUCAUGUACCACUGAGAUUUUCUUUCGUAAGUCUCCAUCACCUCUUGGAAGUAGGAAAGUUUGAACAAAGGCAUGUGAUUUUUCCUUGGACUCGCCGUACUGACUUCUAGGACGAGUCUGUCGGAAUACCUCAAAGUCCGCUGUACCUUCAUGU